rnacentral:rRNA from 1 species
AUACAACUUUUAGCAACGGAUCUCUUGGCUCUCGCAUCGAUGAAGAACGCAGCGAAAUGCGAUAAGUAAUGUGAAUUGCAGAAUUCAGUGAAUCAUCGAAUCUUUGAACGCACCUUGCGCUCCUUGGUAUUCCGAGGAGCAUGCCUGUUUGAGUGUCAUG